GCUGGGACCCUCCAAGCUAGUGCUGGAGAGCAAGUGCUCCAGACAGAUGUCCAUUCCACUGACCAUGAUGGACUAAGCCUGCCAGCCCUGGUAGACUGCCCCCAGGACAGCCCUCGAAAGGCUGGGACCCUCCAAGCUAGUGCUGGAGAGCAAGUGCUCCAGACAGAUGUCCAUUCCACUGGCCAUGAUGGACUAAGCCUGCCAGCCCUGGUAGACUGCCCCCAGGACAGCCCUCGAAAGGCUGGGACCCUCCAAGCUAGUGCUGGAGAGCAAGUGCUCCAGACAGAUGUCCAUUCCACUGACCAUGAUGGACUAAGCCUGCCAGCCCUGGUAGACUGCCCCCAGGACAGCCCUCGAAAGGCUGGGACCCUCCAAGCUAGUGCUGGAGAGCAGGUGCUCCAGACAGACGUCCAUUCGGCUGGCCAUGGUGGACAUGAUGGGCCAGCCCUGGUAGACUGCCCCCAGGACAGCCCUCGAAAGAACCUUGUGCCGAAGCCCCCGCAAGGCCCCAGGCCCAGCCGAGAGGCCAAUAUAGCAAAGGCAGAAAAUAAAGCCAGAGAGGCUAUCAAGGCUAGAAGGGCUAGGGAGGCUAAGGCAGGGGGGGGGAAACUAAGCCACCAAGUAGUUGGUAUGUUGGCACUGCCUCAAACUCUUCUAUCUCGAACCAGUUACAGUGUCCUGCCAGCUAUCAAGAAGGGCACUAAAGUUACUAAAAUGGAGACAACAGAACCCCUAUGUCCCUUGACACCUGAUGGGGAGAUAAUGAUCUCCUCUUCAUCUGUUGAUGACCUCCUGACCCUAAAGAGUGAUGUCAUGUCCGAGGCUAAGAGCGAUGAUGCCUCCCGUCCAAUUGAACCUGAGAUGUUCUCUCUAACAAACUUCCUGAAGUCUCACCCUAAGAGAAAGCUUAUCAGGAAAUUCCUCAAACAAAUGAACGUGACAAUAGGCGACCUGGACGAGAUCAUCGAGUGGGUGGUGUGUGUCUCCAAUGAGGUGUUCCUCCCAGUGAUGGCUCUGAUCCGGACCUCCAGUCCAGAGUCGUCCACCUCAUCCCGAUGGGGGUCAGGUGAGCUCCAGAUCAUCUCCAGGGAGUUCCACCAGCGGAGUUCUGAGCCGAAGGGAAGGCUCCUGGGUGGGCAGCCGCCCACUCCCCCUUCUGAGACCGACAAGGAGCUUCAGGGCGUAGCAGAUCUGUCUGUGAGUAACAUCCUGAAAAGGGCCCAGGAGGACCUCUUCUUUUCUGGUGAGGAUGACCUGGAGAACACCCAUCCAGGCAUCACUCUGACCGAAGAGAGCCUCUCCAGCAUCUUCUCAGAGUUGUUCAGGGACGCCUGUGAGAGUGCCCAGGAGGCCACCAGACAGAUCCACCACAUGAGGUCUGGAAGAGGCAACAACAGCCGGAAUGGGAGAUGCCCUGGGUUAUCACAGGGAUCGAGCAGGUCCAACAUGCUAGAUUUGGGAGAACUGGGGUCAGUGAGGAGGCCCAAGGGAAGCGACGUCCAUAAAGUCCUUAGCGAGGGGUCCCUCCCUGUCUUUGCCCUGCUUGGGGAGAGGCCAGGGGAAGUUGGGGAGACCAGCAGCCCUGCUGGGGAGAUGGACGCGACCCAGACUGCCAGCACUCCCAGCAUUCCCCAGUCUGGGCAUGGCAGCAGAAGAAGUAGCCAGACCACUGCUCCCAUCACCGGCCACAGAGAGGCAGGAGUCACAGCCAGUAACAUCUUUGAUGUUAUUUUUCAUCUGACGCACUCUGACACUGACCGGAAACACCACCAGGAGUUCAGCAGUGAGGAUGAUGUUUCACUGAAUGACAUCAUGGACAUGAAGUUAACCCCACCAGUGGAGCCCCUGGGGCAGAUCCUGUCCUCAUGGAAGCUGGUCAACAGGAUCUUCAGGGGGAAGGUCCACUACUUUGGGAAGGAGCUCAUCUGCAAGGUGUAUCAGAUGCUUCUGGACACCGGUAUGGGCAGGAGGCCAAUGGCCCGCCAGAGCAGGUCCGAGCCCAUCCUGAAAGACCUGGCUGCCAAACGUAGGCUCUCCGAUGAAUUCUUCACAGACGUGCUGUACAUGUUCAUCCAACGGGCCAUUAAGAAUCUGCUGGAGAACUUCUUGGGUCUGCCGACCACCCCACCGGGUAGAGACAUUAUGUGGAAUGACAACUUCAACUGGAUGUAUAGGGACGGCUGGGGGGACACCCCCACAUCCAGCAAGGACGAGUUGUGGGACAGCGACUCCACCUGGUCAAGUGAGCUUGGAGAGGAGGAGGGGGCAGAGUCCCGUGGGAGGUGGGCCGCUCUGUUGGAGAAGGGCAGCUUCCUGACCCUCCAGUCCCCCAGCUCCCUCUCCGAUGACAACAAGGAGGCACUAGGGGCCGUCUACCAGGUCCUGACCACCAGGGUGGGAGACAUCCUGAACAGUACCUGCAACGACGAUUACAAGGCCAGGCUCAUCAUCCAGAAAGGAUUGGAUUCCGGUGCCAGGGAAAGGUUCCCUGACUCUCCGUGUUCCUCUUCACCCAAGGACGAAGAGGAGGUGGUUGUGAGUGGCAUGACUGUCUCAUACCCUAAACCCUCCACCUCAACCCAGGCAGCAUGGGCAGCUCCUGCCCAGACUCUGGACGUUUUUCUGCCCAGACCCUGCCUGGAUGAAGAAGAGGUAGUCCCCAGCACCUCCAUGAAGGACGACUCUGUGACGACCACCCAUGCAGCACGGGCAGCUCCUUACCAGACCCUGGAAGAAGAGGUGGGGGGAGCUGAGGUCUCCGAGAUGAGUGACAGCUCCCUGAUGCCCACCAAGAACAGGCAGGACCCCCUGCAGAAUAUUCCCUCCCUCCUACCAGGCAAGGAGGACAUCCUCCUUCGGUCCACUCCCUGGACCACCGUCAUGAGCCCCCAGACCCUGAAGUUUAUUCUCCACGGCAUCAUGUGCCAACUGGAGGCCUCAGAGUCCCCCCAGACAAGGAGGGCCAAUGACCCCUUCAGGCUGAUGAAGGAUCUCUUUGUGGAGGUCCAGCAUGCCCUGAAGUAUGCUGACAUCUCUGUCGUCUUUGGCCUGGAGGAGAGCAUCCAAUUCAGUGGGGAGGAUGCGGUGAAGGCCAUCGUGAAGACUGCGGCUAAAAGAUUGUCCCUGCGUUCGGACGCCAACCGGGCUCAACUGUGUGCCGCACGCUCUGGUAGUGAGGGAGCCAUCGGGUGCAUGGCGGACACCAUCACACAAGUCAUAGAUGACUAUUCCGAGGACUGGAGUUCCGACGGCCAUUUUGGAGCCAGGAGGAGCCAUGCUAGUGGGAGAUCAUACUCCUCAACCUCCUCAAGGAGUGACGUCACCCUCACCGAGGAGCUCCUGGCUUGGAAGGAAACCCUAGAAGGGGACCUAGAGGAGAUGGCUGAUGACAUCACUGGUUUGGAAAAGACCAGUGUAAGCUCAGCCAUCUCUGAGAAGUCCCAGGUAAUUAGCUACCUUUCUGAAAGCACCAAGCCCAUCAGCAGCGCCCUCUCCACAGACCUCGAGGACAUCACCUCCACACAGAAGAAAGAGAAGGAAGAGGCUAUGGAGAAAGAAGUGAGGAAGUCAGGGAAGAAGAAGCGAGGAAAUAACAAGGAUCAGAAGAAGAACAAGGUGUCUCCUCUUGGCAAUGAUAGUACUGUUGCUGCAGAUGAGCCUAAGAAAAAACAGGCUCUCCUCCCGCGAAUCACAGCCGCCCUGGCAAAACUAUUUUGCUUCCCCUGCAAAAAAAAAAUCAAAAAGUAACUGUGCAUAAGACGACUUUGGGAAACCCUGCGGCCACCUCCCCAACCCAUUUUCGAAAAAAAACUGUCAAAGCCAACAGAAGAGGGACUCACAACUCACUACCCUACUCACAACUCAUUUUAUUACGCCCCAUUUAAUUCAAUAAACGCAACUUGCAACUAUUUUGAUCUUGUUCUUGCAUGCUAUAGAUUCUUAAGGUCAAUUUGCUGUCUACUGUCAACUACAGUAUCAUUGUUAUGAGUAUGUUCACUGUGCCAGUCAUUAUAGCCAGUAUAGGCUAUAAUAAUGCCUUAACCUAAUUGCAAUUGACAUAAUAAGAGUUACAUUUGAAUAAUUCCCUCAUUUUAUAUAUUUUUUAGAGGGAAUACAUCUCUAAAGCACUAUAGAGUAAGCACACCACUGUAUGCAAGCCCCGCCUCCCCGCAGAAUAAAGAAUAGACA
rnacentral:lncRNA from 1 species